rnacentral:tRNA from 1 species
GGACGCCUAGCUCAGUUGGUUAGAGCAUGUCGUUUACACCGACAGGGUCGGGGGUUCGAGUCCCUCGGCGUCCACCA